UAUCCAACCUUCCCUAUAGUAGAGGAUAGCCCGGCGAGAGUCGGAUUAAUACUCUAUGUUUUCCAAUGAGGACAUCUGAGCUGGAACAAAGGUUUACCGCUAUAGGAUGGGGAUGCGUCUGAUUAGGUUGUUGGCGGGUAACGGCCCACCAAGCCUACGAUCAGUAGGGGUUCUGAGAGGAAGGUCCCCCACAUUGGAACUGAGACACGGUCCAAACUCCUACGGGAGGCAGCAGUGAGGAAUAUUGGUCAAUGGGCGAGAGCCUGAACCAGCCAAGUAGCGUGCCAGGAUGACGGCCCUAUGGGUUGUAAACUGCUUUUAUACAGGGAUAAAGUGCGCCACGUGUGGCGUUUUGUACGGUACUGUAUGAAUAAGGACCGGCUAAUUCCGUGCCAGCAGCCGC
rnacentral:rRNA from 1 species